UAACACAUGCAAGUCGAGGGGAAACGACAGGGAAGCUUGCUUCCUUGGGCGUCGACCGGCGCACGGGUGAGUAACGCGUAUCCAACCUGCCCCUGACUGAGGGAUAACCCGUCGAAAGUCGGCCUAAUACCUCAUGGCAUCGUCUGCGGGCAUCCAACGACGAUUAAAGAUUUCAUCGGUCAGAGAUGGGGAUGCGUCUGAUUAGCUUGUUGGCGGGGUAACGGCCCACCAAGGCUACGAUCAGUAGGGGUUCUGAGAGGAAGGUCCCCCACAUUGGAACUGAGACACGGUCCAAACUCCUACGGGAGGCAGCAGUGAGGAAUAUUGGUCAAUGGGCGAGAGCCUGAACCAGCCAAGUAGCGUGCAGGAUGACGGCCCUAUGGGUUGUAAACUGCUUUUAUGCGGGGAUAAAGUGAGGGACGUGUCCUUCAUUGCAGGUACCGCAUGAAUAAGGACCGGCUAAUUCCGUGCCAGCAGCCGCGGUAAUACGGAAGGUCCGGGCGUUAUCCGGAUUUAUUGGGUUUAAAGGGAGCGUAGGCCGUGGAUUAAGCGUGUUGUGAAAUGCAGGUGCUCAACGUCUGCACUGCAGCGCGAACUGGUCCACUUGAGUGUGCGCAACGCAGGCGGAAUUCGUCGUGUAGCGGUGAAAUGCUUAGAUAUGACGAAGAACUCCGAUUGCGAAGGCAGCUUGCGGGAGCACAACUGACGCUGAAGCUCGAAGUGCGGGUAUCGA
rnacentral:rRNA from 1 species